GUGACAUACCUAACCGUUGCUUCGGCGGGCAGGGGAAGCCUCUCGCGGGCCUCCCCUCCCGGCGCCGGCCCCCACCACGGGGACGGGGCGCCCGCCGGAGGAAACCAAACUCUAUUUACACGACGUCUCUUCUGAGUGGCACAAGCAAAUAAUUAAAACUUUUAACAACGGAUCUCUUGGUUCUGGCAUCGAUGAAGAACGCAGCGAAAUGCGAUAAGUAAUGUGAAUUGCAGAAUUCAGUGAAUCAUCGAAUCUUUGAACGCACAUUGCGCUCGCCAGCAUUCUGGCGAGCAUGCCUGUUCGAGCGUCAUUUCAACCCUCAAGCACCGCUUGGUUUUGGGGCCCCACGGCACACGUGGGCCCUUAAAGGUAGUGGCGGACCCUCCCGGAGCCUCCUUUGCGUAGUAACUAACGUCUCGCACUGGGAUCCGGAGGGACUCUUGCCGUAAAACCCCCCCAUUUUUUACAGGUUGACCUCGGAUCAGGUAGGAAUACCCGCUGAACUUAAGCAUAUCAAUA
rnacentral:rRNA from 1 species